rnacentral:rRNA from 1 species
GACCCUGUUGAGCUUGACUCUAGUUUGACAUUGUAAGAUGACUCGGGAGGUAUAGAAUAAGUGGGAGUUUUCCCAUUUGGGUUGACGUCCGUGAAAUACCACUACUCUUGAUGUUGUUUUACUUAUUUGGUGAAUAGGGAUUGGUGGCCUUCGCGGUUGCCUUUUCUUGUGACAAGUCGUGCCCUUUUGGGUGCGGCGACCCUGGCCAAAGACAGUGUCAGGUUGGGAGUUUGGCUGGGGGGGCACAUCUGUCAAAUGAUAACGCAGGUAUCCUAAGGUGAG